UAACACGUGAGUAACCUGCCCUUGACUCUGGGAUAAGCACUGGAAACGGUGUCUAAUACCGGAUACGAGCUUCAGCCGCAUGGCUAGGAGUUGGAAAGAAUUUCGGUCAAGGAUGGACUCGCGGCCUAUCAGCUAGUUGGUGAGGUAAUGGCUCACCAAGGCGACGACGGGUAGCCGGCCUGAGAGGGUGACCGGCCACACUGGGACUGAGACACGGCCCAG
rnacentral:rRNA from 1 species